AAACCCUAACCUCAUACUCAUCAUCAUCAAAAACCCCAACUCUACAAACCCAUACACGGUCACACUUCCUCUCUCUCUCCUCUGCCUCCGACAUCACCACCACUUCCACUAUGACUGUUGGGCCGCCGCCAUCACCUCCGUUACCGCCCUCUCUCUCUCUCUCUUCUCGGCAUGUUGCUUCAGGACAUCGAUUUGCUUUCGGUGGCUUACUUCUCUCUACAUUUUUUUUCUCUCUCCUCAUCUUCUCUUUUCCUCACCAUAUCGACGACGAUCUCCCCUGCCCUUUACUCUUUUUCCAUGGCCGCUGCCUUUUUCACCCUCACAUCCACCGCACACCACCACUACUACCAUUUUCACCAUCUUCAUGCCAUUCUCGGAUGACGACAAUAUGAGAUAUGAAGAAGGCUUCAAAUUUGUUGGAUUUAUGGUAGAUCUGAGAUGUGAGGGCUCUUCCUUUACUGCUAUAACCACCAAGAUGAACGAUGGAGGCCAAAUCUAUGUUCGAUUUUUGUUGGCUCAUGAUCUAUGUUCAAAGUUAUAUAUAUAUGUAUGUAAAGCUUCAGUGAUUUCUAUAUAUGCGUGUGUUUGUGUGCAAUUGGGUAUUUGAUUGUUCGAUUUCCAAACCCUAAUGGCGGAAAUGGAAUUUCGACGUCUGUAUACGUGUAUAAUUGGGUAUCUGAUUGUUGUUUGAUUUGGUUGUUGGAAACCUAGAGGAAACGAUUUUGGUUACGUUUAUCCAACUGUUGAUUACUAGGUACAUGCUGAUUUAAAGUCAAAAUUGAAUUAUUUUUUGCGUUGAUUUUUGUGUGAUUAGAAUGAAAUUGAGCUAGGGCUAAAUUAGAGAAGUUGUUCUGAUUGUUGGAUUUGAUUAUUUUGGAUUGAUUUGAGGGAUUUUUGAUGGAAAUUAUUGUCAUUUUGGAUUUGAGUGUUAUUAAUUUGAAAGAAGUGUUUUCAAUUCCCUUUUCUAAUUGAUUUUGAAGGUAUAUACUGAUUUAAACUCUAAAAUUUUGAAAUUUUUUUUCUGUACUUAAUAUCAACGUGUAUAUUUAUAUAGGUUGUUUUUUUUUUCCCCGUUGUUGAGUGAAAGAAGAGGUAAGCUUUAUGAUAGGUCUAACAGUUUAAUUGCCAUAUUGUCCAAUGCAUUGUCUUGAUUGUUAAAUUAUAUGGUUAUAUUAUAGUUUAUGUUAUUUUUGGGAAAUCAUAUGCAGUUAAUCUGUGGAGGGGAAAGGGCCUGAGUGAGGUAAUUUCUACUAAUAAUGGUUUUAUAUUCUUACUGUUUGACUCGAAUUCUAAUAAUGCUAGUGUUAUUGAAGAUGGUCCAUGGUUUUUUGGGGGUCACUUUCUGAUCCUGAAGAAAAGGCACAAGAUGGUGAGGCCAACCAAGAUGAUGAGGCUAAACCUAAGGAAGAUGCAGUGCAAGCAUAGCUGUGGUUCUUGCCACUGCUCUCCUUGUUUCCCUUUCACUUCACUUGGAAACAAUUCACGCUGCUACUUUCAUUGUCGGUGAUUCUUUAGGAUGUGAUUUUAGUGUUGGAAGCUGGACAAAUGGGAAGCAAUUCAAGGCCGAGGAUAUGCUAAACAACGUGUUCGACAAAAGUCCCAAGUGAGGUGAGCUUCCUCUUGCUUUGAUUCUCUUUUCUAACUAACCAAACAGAGUAUUUUUCUUAUUUGAUUACUCUAGUUGAUUGUAUGUUACAAUUUUUAGCCUAAUAUGUAUUCCUUUUUUUUUCUUUUUUCUUUUUUUUUAAUCUGUUAAAAAUGGUUGAGAGGAAAAGUAAAAGCUGUUCCCUCUGGGGAUAGUUUCGUGAUAUUGGGGAGCACCAAGGCAGAAAUCCCCCCUGAGAAGAUAAUCACUUUGUCAUCCUUAUUCUCCAAGAUUGGCCCAUAGAAGUGGUGUUGAUAAGCCAUUUGCAUGGGAAAGUAGAGAGUAUUUAAGGAAACUGUGUAUGGGAAAGGAUGUCACAUUCAAAGUGGAUUAUACGGUACCAUCUAUUGGGCGAGAAUUUAGCUUUGUUUUCCUUGGUGAUAAGAAUGUUGCAUUGAUAGUUGUUUCUAAUGGCUGGGUAAAGGUUAGGGAGCGGGGUCAAUAGAAAGGAGAUGCUACUCCUUUCUUAGUAGAACUACUACGUCUUGAAGAACAUGCCAAGCAACAAGGGCUAAGACGUUGAACCAGGGUUAUGCAGAUGGUUUGGCUGGGUAUGAUCUAGGUAGCCCAGUCAAUUUUUAGCAAAUUCUUCUUGGUUUUAUCAGAGAGUGAUGGUGUUGUACGGGAGCCAGGCUGCAACUUUGCGCUAGUUCUAGUUCUUUGUGCCUUGGGUCAAUCCAUUGUUCUAUUUAUUUUCUUUCCUCCUCUCAGUGCUUUGUGAUUUUGGAAAUUUUCUUUUUAUUUCAGUUGUGUAUCAGUGUUACUGUCCCUUCUCCUGCGGGCUAUGGUGGAGAUUUGUUCCUUGGGUAGUUGUCGGUUAUGGUGUCCCCAUGAAGCUUGCUGUUCUGCCGUAACCAGAUAGUGAUAUACCCUGAAGGCCUUGGUACAGAGUUAUUGCGGCUACUCAUACAUAUGGAGGCUUUUUAGUUUGUCUACAGGUCUUUGUGUUACCAUUGCUUAUUGGUUGUGAUAAAGUAAUGCCUUGGCUUAGUUGUUUGGACUUAGUCGGUUUUGCUUUCCUGGUUUUCUCUGUUUGCUGAUAUGGGCCCUUUUGUUCUUGUUCUGCCUCCCUAUUUUCUUUUAGAUAUGGAUGUUGAACAGGUUGUUUGGCCCCUUUGGUUUUUUCUUUCUUUUAGGUCUUUAGCUUGGUUAUAGUUUUUGUUAGUUUGGUUUUAUUGUAUAACUAUGGUAAGGCCUGAGGUAUUGCCCUUGGAAUCUUAUAUAUUUUCCUGUUUUAUUUUAUGACUUAUUCACUAAAAAUAAAUAAAUAAA